AGGAGUAUAAAAAUAUUGCUCGAGCAUGCAGUGGUGUAUAAUCAGGAAGGCCAAAGCACAAUCGGAGUUGCAGCUAGCAAGGGAUGUGAAGGGUAAUAAGAAGGGUUUCUACAAGUAUGUUAGCAACAAGAAGGAAGUCCGGGAAAGUGUGGGACCGUUACUGAUUGGGAGAGGCAACCUAGUGACAGAGGAUGUGGAAAAAGCUAAUGUACUCAAUGC